rnacentral:rRNA from 1 species
AGAUUGAACGCUGGCGGAAUGCUUUACACAUGCAAGUCGAACGGCAGCACGGGGGGCAACCCUGGUGGCGAGUGGCGAACGGGUGAGUAAUACAUCGGAACGUGCCCAGUCGUGGGGGAUAACUACGCGAAAGCGUAGCUAAUACCGCAUACGAUCUACGGAUGAAAGGCGGGGGAUCGCAAGACCUCACGCGAUUGGAGCGGCCGAUGGCAGAUUAGGGUAGUUGGUGGGGUAAAGCUCGACCAAGCCAACGAUCUGUAGCUGGUCUGAGACGGACGACCAGCCACACGUGGGACUGAGACACGGCCCAGACUACCGUACGGGAGCGUAGCGAGGU